GUAGGUGGCAAGCGUUGUCCGGAAUUAUUGGGCGUAAAGCGCGCGCAGGCGGUCCUUUAAGUCUGAUGUGAAAGCCCACGGCUCAACCGUGGAGGGUCGUUGGAAACUGGGGACUUGAGUACAGAAGAGGAAAGCGGAAUUCCAAGUGUAGCGGUGAAAUGCGUAGAGAUUUGGAGGAACACCAGUGGCGAAGGCGGCUUUCUGGUCUGUAACUGACGCUGAGGCGCGAAAGCGUGGGGAGCAAACAGGAUUAGAUACCCUGGUAGUCCACGCCGUAAACGAUGAGUGCUAAGUGUUAGGGGGUUUCCCGCCCCCCUUAGUGCUGCAGCUAACGCAUUAAGCACUCCGCCUGGGGGAGUACGGCCGCAAGGCUG
rnacentral:rRNA from 1 species